GGGCAACAGGUGAGAAGUCACAGGCCUCAGGGAUGGGUGAGGAUCUGGGAGAACAAGACAAUAGGCCCUAUAGAGAGAAGCCACACGCGGUCCACAGGGAAGACUUCCGGGAGACGUUCUACGGGAGUCCCACGCUGAUGCUCGGGACAAACCCAGAGAGUCCUGCCUGAAGCCAGUGUAUCGCGUGCUAAUUUGACUCCGAACUUCAGUUCUGCUGAAUUUCAGUACCCAAAUCUCAACCGCCAGGAGAACCGGGUGUCGAAAUGACAUCGUUUCACAUUGUUUACCCAUAUUUUGAACUCCCCGAUCUUUAUACACGCACGGAGAUCAAUUUCUGUAACCAAAGGACACCAACAAAUUUUGCUCAUCUUCCUCAAAUCGUGGAUCCCUGUGUGUGUUAGGCACGGGCACUGUUCCACAAGCGAAAGGAGUCAUGAUCAGUAUUUUUAAUAAAAUAGUAGAAGUAAA